rnacentral:miRNA from 1 species
GAAGAGGAGAGAGUUGGAGGAGAGGGGUUUAUAAGGUGGCUUAGGUAGUGGGUCUACCUCAAUCUCCCCUUCUCCUUUUC